rnacentral:tRNA from 1 species
GUUACUAUAGUUUAACAAAAACAUUAGAUUGUGAAUCUAAAAAUAGAAGUCUAAACCUUCUUUCUAACC